rnacentral:rRNA from 1 species
AGAGUUUGAUCCUGGCUCAGGACGAACGCUGGCGGCGUGCUUAACACAUGCAAGUCGAACGGAAAGGCCCCUUCGGGGGUACUCGAGUGGCGAACGGGUGAGUAACACGUGGGUGAUCUGCCCUGCACUUUGGGAUAAGCCUGGGAAACUGGGUCUAAUACCGAAUAGGACCGCAUGCUUCAUGGUGUGUGGUGGAAAGCUUUUGCGGUGUGGGAUGGGCCCGCGGCCUAUCAGCUUGUUGGUGGGGUAAUGGCCUACCAAGGCGACGACGGGUAGCCGGCCUGAGAGGGUGUCCGGCCACACUGGGACUGAGAUACGGCCCAGACUCCUACGGGAGGCAGCAGUGGGGAAUAUUGCACAAUGGGCGCAAGCCUGAUGCAGCGACGCCGCGUGGGGGAUGACGGCCUUCGGGUUGUAAACCUCUUUCAGUAUCGGCGAAGCUCCAGGAUUUUUCUUGGGGUGACGGUAGGUACAGAAGAAGCACCGGCCAACUACGUGCCAGCAGCCGCGGUAAUACGUAGGGUGCGAGCGUUGUCCGGAAUUACUGGGCGUAAAGAGCUCGUAGGUGGUUUGUCACGUUGUCCGUGAAAACUCACAGCUUAACUGUGGGCGUGCGGGCGAUACGGGCAGACUGGAGUACUGUAGGGGAGACUGGAAUUCCUGGUGUAGCGGUGGAAUGCGCAGAUAUCAGGAGGAACACCGGUGGCGAAGGCGGGUCUCUGGGCAGUAACUGACGCUGAGGAGCGAAAGCGUGGGGAGCGAACAGGAUUAGAUACCCUGGUAGUCCAA